UAGAAGCUUGCUUCUAUGACGUUAGCGGCGGACGGGUGAGUAACACGUGGGCAACCUGCCUGUAAGACUGGGAUAACUUCGGGAAACCGAAGCUAAUACCGGAUAGGAUCUUCUCCUUCAUGGGAGAUGAUUGAAAGAUGGUUUCGGCUAUCACUUACAGAUGGGCCCGCGGUGCAUUAGCUAGUUGGUGAGGUAACGGCUCACCAAGGCAACGAUGCAUAGCCGACCUGAGAGGGUGAUCGGCCACACUGGGACUGAGACACGGCCCAGACUCCUACGGGAGGCAGCAGUAGGGAAUCUUCCGCAAUGGACGAAAGUCUGACGGAGCAACGCCGCGUGAGUGAUGAAGGCUUUCGGGUCGUAAAACUCUGUUGUUAGGGAAGAACAAGUACGAGAGUAACUGCUCGUACCUUGACGGUACCUAACCAGAAAGCCACGGCUAACUACGUGCCAGCAGCCGCGGUAAUACGUAGGUGGCAAGCGUUAUCCGGAAUUAUUGGGCGUAAAGCGCGCGCAGGCGGUUUCUUAAGUCUGAUGUGAAAGCCCACGGCUCAACCGUGGAGGGUCAUUGGAAACUGGGGAACUUGAGUGCAGAAGAGA
rnacentral:rRNA from 1 species